GGGAAGAGAACAAUGUAACUUAUCUUAUUAAGAAUUUAAAGACUGCUUUGUGACAGAUUGUGGGUCAGUUCUGAGAUGAUGGAAACAGGAAUAGGAUCAAUUGAGUAUAAUUCCAUCACCCAGACUUUUAUUCAAGUGGUGACAUCAGGUCUGAUUCUUUUGAUAUAAGCCAUUCUUCUGUUGGUGGCGCAGGUUACAGAAGUUUCACCUCAACAUGUCUCCCGAGUUUCCCUCCCAGAAAGCCCUCCAGACGAGAAUGGGAUGAGAUGAACAGUUUCUGUUGGUCCCAAUGGUGUGCCCAGCUGAAAGGAUCAAGACUUAGGAAAGCCAUACAGAAGGGACCACACGCUUGAGCAUUACCAGAAAUUAAGAAAGCACACACAUCAACAACAACAAAAAGCAAUUUGUAAAAUGCAUGGAAUUUGGGUUUAAAAUAUAUUUGGAUUCUGCUCAAACGGAACUCUCACAAAAGGUGCUCACAGCAAGCUGCACUUUUUGUUUUUAAUUUUUUUUGUCUAUGCUAACAGUACUCCAGGCUGAAAAUAUUGAGAAAAAGUUUCCAUGUUUGGGAGGACCUUCAGUUUCUGGAGCACAGAUGACCCCUUGGCAUUAAGUGAUGAACAGCAGAAACCUGGUGCUAACAGAGAAUGUCUAGAGAUGACCAGGGAACAGU
rnacentral:lncRNA from 1 species